rnacentral:misc_RNA from 1 species
GAUGAAGAACGUAGCAAAUGCGAUAAGUAGUGUGAAUUGCAGAAUUCAGUGAAUCAUCGAAUCUUUGAACGCAUAUUGCGGCCAUAGGUAUUCCUUUGGCCAUGCCUGUUCGAGCGUCAUUUACACCCUCAAGCCUAGCUUGGUGUUGGGCGCCUGUCCCGCCGUUUUCGCGCGCGGACUCGCCUCAAAGUCAUUGGCGGCGGUCGUGCCGGCCCCCUCGCGCAGCACAUUUGCGCUUCUCGGAGGCCCGGCGGAUCCGCGCUCCAGCAAGACCUUUCACGACUUGACCUCGGAUCAGGUAGGGAUACCCGCUGAACUUAAGCAUAUCAAUAAGCGGAGGA